rnacentral:lncRNA from 1 species
AUAUACCUUCUCUUCUUUCACUUUCAGUUUCUGUGCUGGGAACACGAGCCCCAUCUUUUGGCCAGAUGUGAAAUUUCAUAAAGAAGAAAGACUCCGGAACAGGACAAACUAAUCAAGGAUUAUCUUAUUCUCCUCUGUAUAAAAUGUUUUUCUCCUCUAGGAAUUUUUAAGACCAAGGGAAGGGGCUCAGUUUGGCAGCAACUCUGUAGCUCAGUAUUUAUUUUAUUCUUAUGGGGAAGAAAGAUAGAAAAUUAUGGAUAGAUAAUUAAUUUUAUUAUAUUAGUACUUAAAAUACAUGUUCAGGUUUGCAUUUUAAAAGUUCCUCCUUAAUGGUGUAAUGUUUAUUUCAUCAACAUAUCAUUUUAAAAUUUAAAAUCUUGGAACAGUUAACAAAGAAAGAGAAAAGUUGUCCUUUGCCCAAAAAUAAAGUCUCAGAUUUACAAACUCUGAACAGACCUAGUAAUAUUUAACAACCACUAUGGGGAAUCUUUACAAAUAAAAAUUGACAUAUAUGCUCUUUGGGAGAAUUUCUCCUUUCAAGCUUUCACAAAGACAUGCAAGGAAUUAUAAAUACAUACAUAAGCAAAAUAAGACUAGGCAACAAUUUUUAUAAUGUGUGUAGGCACUAAUUAUAGUGUUUCCUUUUAUGAAAGCAAAAGUAGUAAAACAUCUCUUAUAGUUUGAGACUAUAGAAGUAGAGAGCUACAUUCUAGCAAUAGAAAACUUGUGGGCUGAGAUUGCCUUCCCCAGGUAUGAAUGGGGGUUAUUAAUUGCCCUCAACUGGCAUCAGUCCCAGGAUUCUGUCCUUUUCUAUUUAACCAUCUUAUCAUGGAACAGAAUUAACUCAGCUCUACAGGGCUUACAAGAUCAAAGGACGCCAUUUUAAAGAGUAACAUUUACUAAAAAUUUAGAUCUAUAUAUUUAACAAGCAAACCUUUUGAUAUAUCUAAAAUUAAACCUUUAAUUUUUUCUCUCUCACAGUUCCUUUAAAUUAUUCUUGGUGGGGAUGGGGUGGGAUUGAUUGGUGGAAAUUUUCUCUUCCUGGAUGAAAGCUCUGCCAUGAUCUAUGAGUUUGUUGUUGCAUUGCUGUUAAAGUCAUUUGAGGUCACAAAUACUAUUGCAACAGGAC